CACAGCUCGUUGAAACACCGGUUCUAGUACGAUCACCAAAGUUAAGCAUAGUCAAGCAUGUUCAGUACCUAGAUGGGUAACAGCUUGGGAAUACCAAGUGCCA